rnacentral:rRNA from 1 species
AAAGGCACCUGCGGAAGGAUCAUUG